rnacentral:rRNA from 1 species
CUACGUGCCAGCAGCCGCGGUAAUACGGAGGGUGCGAGCGUUAAUCGGAAUAACUGGGCGUAAAGGGCACGCAGGCGGUGACUUAAGUGAGGUGUGAAAGCCCCGGGCUUAACCUGGGAAUUGCAUUUCAUACUGGGUCGCUAGAGUACUUUAGGGAGGGGUAGAAUUCCACGUGUAGCGGUGAAAUGCGUAGAGAUGUGGAGGAAUACCGAAGGCGAAGGCAGCCCCUUGGGAAAGUACUGACGCUCAUGUGCGAAAGCGUGGGGAGCAAACAGGAUUAGAUACCCUGGUAGUCCACGCUGUAAACGAUGUCGAUUUGGGGGUUGAGCUUUAAGCUUGGCGCCCGUAGCUAACGUGAUAAAUCGACCGCCUGGGGAGUACGGCCGCAAGGUUAAAACUCAAAUGAAUUGACGGGGGCCCGCACAAGCGGUGGAGCAUGUGGUUUAAUUCGAUGCAACGCGAAGAACCUUACCUACUCUUGACAUCCAGAGAACAUUC